UCUGCCGAAUCGGACGAAUGGGUAUCGUUCGUGCGAGAUCGUAAGGAUUCAGCGCGUCCACGUUGCAAAACCACGCUACUUUACGCGCCCGCAAAAUAAUCGUGCCACCGACGUUGACUAGUCAACAUGGUUCCACGCGUCCACGCGCGACUUCUGUCAAACGAUGCGGUUGCUCGGUCUCGUCCGUUGAAAAGAAAGUUUUCAUGGGAAAUCACUGGAAGUUUUAAAGUCUGUCACGACUGUACUGGUUCUUCGGCGAAGGUUUACCAGCCACUUUUCUAAUUACACAGCCAGCCCUCAAUGACCACAGAUGUCUUCAAGUUUAUGGGGUCAUGUCGAAAGGAGGACUCGAUGGAAUUCAUCGGCUCUCAUUGGAAUGUGGUAAAGGCCGGAAUGAAGGUCGAAUAAGUCUCUCAACCGGUUGUCGCAAUCUCCAGCUGGUCAUGUUUCCAGUCUAAUGGAGUUAUAAGCUUUUUUUUCAAGCGCAAAGAAGACUGCGAUGUAUGAAAAAUUAAUUAUAUAUUUGACUUACCGUAUGUAUACCUAGCUAUUAUGUACUCGUUAAUUAUAAAAAUAUCUGCUCAAGCUGUACUAAGAUUGCAAUUACGAAG
rnacentral:misc_RNA from 1 species